UGGGGAAUAUUGCACAAUGGGCGAAAGCCUGAUGCGGCAACGCCGCGUGAGGGACGACGGCCUUCGGGUUGUAAACCUCUUUUAGCAAGGAAGAAGCGAAAGUGACGGUACUUGCAGAAAAAGCGCCGGCUAACUACGUGCCAGCAGCCGCGGUAAUACGUAGGGCGCAAGCGUUAUCCGGAAUUAUUGGGCGUAAAGAGCUCGUAGGCGGUUUGUCGCGUCUGCUGUGAAAACCCGAGGCUCAACCUCGGGCCUGCAGUGGGUACGGGCAGACUAGAGUGCGGUAGGGGAGAUUGGAACUCCUGGUGUAGCGGUGGAAUGCGCAGAUAUCAGGAAGAACACCGAUGGCGAAGGCAGAUCUCUGGGCCGUAACUGACGCUGAGGAGCGAAAGGGUGGGGAGCAAACAGGCUUAGAUACCCUGGUAGUCCACCCCGUAAACGUUGGGAACUAGUUGUGGGGUCCAUUCCACGGAUUCCGUGACGCAGCUAACGCAUUAAGUUCCCCGCCUGGGGAGUACGGCCGCAAGGCUAAAACUCAAAGGAAUUGACGGGGUCAUAGCUGUUUCCU
rnacentral:rRNA from 1 species